rnacentral:rRNA from 1 species
CGGACGGGUGAGUAAUGUCUGGGAAACUGCCUGAUGGAGGGGGAUAACUACUGGAAACGGUAGCUAAUACCGCAUAACGUCGCAAGACCAAAGAGGGGGACCUUCGGGCCUCCUGCCAUCGGAUGUGCCCAGAUGGGAUUAGCUAGUAGGUGGGGUAAAGGCUCACCUAGGCGACGAUCCCUAGCUGGUCUGAGAGGAUGACCAGCCACACUGGAACUGAGACACGGUCCAG